GAGGGGAAGGUGAAAAGAACCCCGGGAGGGGAGUGAAAUAGAACCUGAAACCCUGCACUUACAAGCUGUGGAAGCACAUUUCUUGUGUGACCGCGUACUUUUUGUAGAACGGGCCAACGAGUUACGUUAAGUAGCCAGGUUAAGCACUUAAGGUGUGGAGCCGUAGCGAAAGCGAGUUUUAACUGAGCGUUCAGUUACUUGACGUAGACCCGAAACCGGGCGACCUACCCAUGAGCAGGAUGAAGCGAAAGUAAAAUUUCGUGG
rnacentral:rRNA from 1 species